GUAGGGAAUCUUCCACAAUGGACGCAAGUCUGAUGGAGCAACGCCGCGUGAGUGAAGAAGGUUUUCGGACCGUAAAGCUCUGUUGUUGGUGAAGAAGGAUAGAGGUAGUAACUGGCCUUUAUUUGACGGUAAUCAACCAGAAAGUCACGGCUAACUACGUGCCAGCAGCCGCGGUAAUACGUAGGUGGCAAGCGUUGUCCGGAUUUAUUGGGCGUAAAGCGAGCGCAGGCGGAAGAAUAAGUCUGAUGUGAAAGCCCUCGGCUUAACCGAGGAAUUGCAUCGGAAACUGUUUUCUUGAGUGCAGAAGAGGAGAGUAGAACUCCAUGUGUAGCGGUGGAAUGCGUAGAUAUAUGGAAGAAUACCAGUGGCGAAGGCGGCUCUCUGGUCUGCAACUGACGCUGAGGCUCGAAAGCAUGGGUAGCGAACAGGAUUAGAUACCCUGGUAGUCCAUGCCGUAAACGAUGAGUGCUAA
rnacentral:rRNA from 1 species